rnacentral:rRNA from 1 species
UGAGUACGAGAUGCUACGGCAUCGAAGCAGUCUAUGUCAUACUUCCAAGAAAAGCUUGCAAUGUCAUAAACAAAUAAUGCCUGUACCAUAACCGACACAGGUGGGUAGGUAGAGUAUACUAAGGGGCGCGAGAUAACUCUCUCUAAGGAACUCGGCAAAAUGACUCCGUAACUUCGGGAGAAGGAGUGCCUUAUUUUUAUAAGGUUGCAAUAACAAGAUCCAAGCAACUGUUUACCAAAAACACAGGUCUCCGCUAAGUCGUAAGACGAUGUAUGGGGGCUGACGCCUGCCCAGUGCCAGAAGGUUAAAGAAGUUGGUUAGCAUUAGCGAAGCUGAUAACUGAAGCCCUGGUGAACGGCGGCCGUAACGAUAACGGUCCUAAGGUAGCGAAAUUCCUUGUCGGGUAAGUUCCGACCCGCACGAAAGGCGUAAUGAUUUGGAUACUGUCUCGGAGAGGGGCUCGGUGAAAUAGACUUGUCUGUGAAGAUGCGGACUACCUGCACCUGGACAGAAAGACCCUAUGAAGCUUUACUGUAACUUGAGAUUGAAAUUGGACUUUAUCUGCGCAGUAUAGGUGGGAGACGUUGAAAAUAUUCUUGCGGGAAUAUUGGAGUCAUCAGUGAGAUACCACUCUUAUAAUGUUAGAUUUCUAACUUUGUAUCAUUAUCUGGUCAAAGAACAGUUUCAGGCGGGCAGUUUGACUGGGGCGGUCGCCUCCCAAACGGUAACGGAGGCGCACAAAGGUUUCCUCUGAACGUGUAGAAAUCGUAUCUAGAGUGUAAAGGCAUAAGGAAGCUUGACUGAGAGACCUACAAGUCGAGCAGGGACGAAAGUCGGUCUUAGUGAUCUGACGGUGCUCAGUGGAAAGGCCGUCACUCAACGGAUAAAAGUUACUCUAGGAUAACAGGCUGAUCUCCCCCAAGAGUUCACAUCGACGGGGAGGUUUGGCACCUCGAUGUCGGCUCAUCGCAUCCUGGGGCGGUAGUACGUCCCAAGGGUUGGGCUGUUCGCCCAUGAAAGCGGUACGCGAGCUGGGUUCAGAACGUCGUGAGACAGUUCGGUCCAUAUCCGGUGUAGGCGUUAGAAUAUUGAGAGGAGCCUUCUUUAGUACGAGAGGACCGAGAAGGACAUACCUCUGGUGUACCAGUUAUCGUGCCAACGGUAAACGCUGGGUAGCCAUGUAUGGAGAGGAUAACCGCUGAAAGCAUCUAAGUGGGAAGCCCACCUCAAGAUAAG